UAUCAUCAAACGCCCCUGCCUUUUCUGGUGGGUCGGCGAUUUGGACUUGGACGUGCUGCUGGGCGCUCUGCGCUCGGCUCGUCUUGAAUGCAUUAGCUGGAUCUCCCUCCGGCCUCGGACCUUAUGGCGUGAUAAGAUCACCCGUCAAGCAGUCCUUGGUCAACGUUGGGUUCCGCUUCCAACCGUCCCCCGUGGACAACACCGAAACCUGGUUUUCGAC
rnacentral:misc_RNA from 1 species